CUGCUGCCUCCCGUAGGAGUCUGGUCCGUGUCUCAGUACCAGUGUGGGGGACCUUCCUCUCAGAACCCCUACGCAUCGUCGCCACGGUGGGCCGUUACCCCCGCCGUCUAGCUAAUGCGCCGCAUGCCCAUCCUCUUCCGAUGAAUCUUUCCUCGAUCUCGGAUGCCCGAAACCGAUAUACGCGGGAUUAGCCUCCCUUUCGGAAGGUUGUCCCCCUGAAGAGGGCAGGUUGCAUACGUGUUACUCACCCGUGCGCCGGUCGCCGG
rnacentral:rRNA from 1 species